CUCUUAUGCUUAGAUGCUUAGAGAUCAUUUAUGCUUGAGCCAGUGGAUUAAAGGCCUUGUGGGGCGCUUUCUUAGAAUGUCUUUACAUGUGAAAUGCCUGAAAGGGGAUCAGCAGAUGGAGCCCAAUUCCUCAUACUGCCCUGACCAGAUUUAUCUUUGAAAUCUCAGUUUUAAGCUACAUCUAAUACCUGAGAGAGAACUUUGAAAUGCUGAAUGUCUUUCUUUCCAACAUUGCCAACAUUUUCUAAAUUCAAAAGGAUCCUACAACUUUAUUAAUUUUUUUUCUCUUCAAAGACACAAAAGAAUAAAGUGGCUAAAUGUUUUUAAAG